CUAAUAUUCCAAAAAAAGCUAAUUUAACCAGUAUUUGGUCCUUUCGUACUAAAAUAUUUUAAAUAAAUGAGGUAGUAGAAUCCAACCUGGCUCACGUCCAGGGUUUGAACUCGGAUCAUGUAAGGG
rnacentral:rRNA from 1 species